UGGACAUUUAUUUUUAUUCAGUUUCUUCUCAAGGUGAAGAUAACUCUUUUUAAAUGUCCUAGAGAAAUAUAGUAGGUUUCUAUUCAACCUUUGUAAGUAAAAAGGGUGGAUCGUUCUACUACUGACAAUU
rnacentral:snoRNA from 12 species